rnacentral:rRNA from 1 species
UACGUAGGGUCCGAGCGUUGUCCGGAAUUAUUGGGCGUAAAGAGCUCGUAGGCGGUCUGUCGCGUCGGUCGUGAAAACUUGGGGCUUAACCCUGAGCUUGCGGUCGAUACGGGCAUGACUGGAGUUCGGCAGGGGAGACUGGAAUUCCUGGUGUAGCGGUGAAAUGCGCAGAUAUCAGGAGGAACACCGGUGGCGAAGGCGGGUCUCUGGGCCGAUACUGACGCUGAGGAGCGAAAGCGUGGGGAGCGAACAGG